rnacentral:rRNA from 1 species
CAGUCGCCACGGUAAUACAGAGGGUGCGAGCGUUAAUCGGAUUUACUGGGCGUAAAGCGUGCGUAGGCGGCUUCUUAAGUCGGAUGUGAAAUCCCUGAGCUUAACUUAGGAAUUGCAUUCGAUACUGGGAAGCUAGAGUAUGGGAGAGGAUGGUAGAAUUCCAGGUGUAGCGGUGAAAUGCGUAGAGAUCUGGAGGAAUACCGAUGGCGAAGGCAGCCAUCUGGCCUAAUACUGACGCUGAGGUACGAAAGCAUGGGGAGCAAACAGGAUUAGAUACCCCUGUAGUUCCUGUCUCUUAUAC